UACGUAGGGUGCGAGCGUUGUCCGGAAUUAUUGGGCGUAAAGAGCUUGUAGGCGGUUUGUCGCGUCUGCCGUGAAAAUCCGGGGCUCAACCCCGGACUUGCGGUGAGUACGGGCAGACUAGAGUGUGGUAGGGGAGACUGGAAUUCCUGGUGUAGCGGUGAAAUGCGCAGAUAUCAGGAGGAACACCGAUGGCGAAGGCAGGUCUCUGGGCCACUACUGACGCUGAGAAGCGGAAGCGUGGGGAGCGAACAGG
rnacentral:rRNA from 1 species